rnacentral:rRNA from 1 species
UACGUAGGGGGCUAGCGUUGUCCGGAUUUAUUGGGCGUAAAGAGCGUGUAGGCGGCCAGGUAGGUCUGGUGUGAAAACUCGAGGCUUAACCUCGAGAUGUCAUCGGAAACCAUCUGGCUAGAGUCCGGAAGAGGAGAGUGGAAUUCCUGGUGUAGCGGUGAAAUGCGCAGAUAUCAGGAGGAACACCGGUGGCGAAGGCGCCACUCUGGGCCGAAACUGACGCUGAGGAGCGAAAGCAUGGGUAGCAAACAGG